AACUAACGCUGGCGGCGUGCCUAACACAUGCAAGUCGAGCGGACACCAUUUUGUAGCAAUACAGAAGAAGUGUUAGCGGCAGACGGGUGAGUAACACGUAGGCAAUCUACCAUUCCGCCCGGGAUAACUAGCCGAAAGGUUAGCUAAUACCUGAUACGCUCAUCGAGCGGCAUCGUUUGAUGAUGAAAGCAGUAAUGCGCGGAUUGAGGAGCCUGCGGCCCAUUAGCUAGUUGGUGAGGGUAAUGGCCCACCAAGGCAACGAUGGGUAGC
rnacentral:rRNA from 1 species